AUUGAACGCUGGCGGCAGGCCUAACACAUGCAAGUCGAACGAGUGGCGGACGGGAGAGUAAUGUGUGGGAACCUCCCAGAUAGGGGGGGAUAACUCCGGGAAACGGUAGCUAAUACCGCAUACCAGCGGAGGUGCCCCGAUGGGAUUAGCUAGUUGGUGGGGUAAAGGCUCACCUAGGCGACGAUCCCUCGCGGGUCUGAGAGGAGGACCAGGAACACUGGAACUUCGCCACGGUCCAUACUCGCACGGGAGGCAGCAGUGUGGAAUAUGGCACAAUGGGCGCAAGCCUGAUGCAGCCAUGCCGCGUGUAUGAAGAAGGCCUUCGGGUUGUAAAGUACUUUCAGCGGGGAGGCGUUACCCGGAGAAGAAGCCCCGGCUAACUCCGUGCCAGCAGCCGCGGUAAUUC
rnacentral:rRNA from 1 species